UUUCCUUCACUUUUCUUAACUCUCUUAAUAUUUGUGUUCAUGUUUUACUACCCUUUCUGUGGACUUUCUAUAAGUAAAAUUGUAGAGGGAGGGGACACCUCAUUAAAAGAAAAUUCUUAAAUGAAGGAUUGGAUUUUCUUUUAUACGUGCUGUGAGGUGGUCCAGACUGGUGUAUCAGGAUUGUGUCUGAAUGUUUGUGUGAUGGUUAAUUUUAUGUGUCCACUUGACUGGGCCACAAGGUGCCCAGAUAUUUGGUCAAACAUCAUUCCGGUGUGUCUGUGAGUGUGUUUUCUUGAUGAGAUUAAUAUUUGACUCCGGGGGCUCGCUAAAGCAGAUUGCCCUCCCUAAUGUGCCCGCCCUCAUCCAAUCAGGUGAAGGCCUGAAUACAACGAAAAAGGCUGAGCUUCCUGUGAUGGAGGGGAACUCCUCCUGCUUGAGUGCAGAGCUGGGACAUUGGUCUUUUCCUGCCUUCAGACUUGAAUUGAAACCUUGGCUCUUCUUAGGUCUCAAGCCUGCUGGCUUUUGGACUGGAGUUUCUACCUUUGGCUGGUUCUCAGGCCUUUGGACGUGGACUAGACUCACACCAUUGAUUCUCCUUCAUCUCCAGCUUGCUCACUGCAGACCUGGCGGCUUCUUAGCCUCCUUAAUCACCUCACUUAUUCUCUCUUUAUGUGAUCUGCUGCCCAAGCCGUAAGGACACUUGAAAUUGGAAAUGGCUGAUACUCAAAUGAGUAUAAGCCAAACAUGGCUCAUUUAACAGCAAUCUAUGAGACGGGUGUGAUCAUUCUCUGCACUUUAUACAGGAGGACGCUGCUGCAUGGAGAGGUUAACUGACAACACGGCAGCAAAGAAGCGAGAGAGUAUGAGAGAAUGUCAGCAACAGAGACCAAGCUGGCAGGAUGGAGGUCAGACUCUUCUGUAACCUCAACAUGGAAAUGACACCCCAUCAUCUGCACUCUAUUAUUUUUGUUAGAAGCGAGUCACCAGGUCCCGUUUAUACUCAUGGGAAGGGGAUUACUCAAGGGUGUGGGUGGCAGGAGGUGGGGAUCCCUGGGAACCCUAUCAGAAGCUGCCUACCACGUCUAUAUAAAGUAAUAUUUGAGAUCCAAGUGCUGAUCCACUACAGAAAAACUCUCCAACCAUUUUUGCCACCUAUAACUUUGCAGUUAGGAACGUCCACAGGAAUAUUAGAACUGUUUCCCUUUGAUAGAAGGCCAUAUGUCAGUGGAGGUGUUUUUGGCGCUUACUAAUGCACUCAGUAACUUGAUUUGAAAAGAGAACUGUGCAAUACUGUAUAAUUUCAAACAUUUUCCUAGCAAAAAUGUAUUACCUUUAAUUAGGCUGAUUUAAAGCUGUUAAGAUUCUUGUCAGAAAUAAUUUUUAAGUGGAUGUGUCAAGAUGAAAACAGCAGUUGUCAAGUGAAGAAAGCGGUAAUUUGUGUGUGUGCUAUCUGGCUUAUGAGAAAUUGGGUCUUUAAAUACCAACCAAGCAUUCGUGCUAACAAUUUCUUUUAUAGAAGCCAUUCUGGCAGUUUGGGAUUCAAAAUGUUGGAAUGCUAUUGUUUGUGGUAAAUAUUUGUCCUAUGACUAGGGAAUUAAAUUUAGUUCCUACCCUGUAAUAUAGACAAAAGCAUCGCUAAGAAGAGAAAGCAUUUAAGCAAUUAAAUUCACCAAGUGGUCAAACACAUAGCAUGAGCAAAGCAUUCUGGGUGAUUACAGAGUGGAAUAAUAAUAACAAUAAUGAAGACCACUCUUAGAUGAAAGCAAAUCAGGUGACUUUAAGCACUCGAAAAAGCUUGAAUUCUGCUUGUAGUCUUUUUAGGCUACUAAUUUCUUUAGCAAGCUUUUGUUAUUGGGCAGUGAAAAGGAGGGCUUUUGCUUGACCUCUAUGGUAGGGUUUCUUAGUAGUGGCACUGUUGACAUUUUGGGUCACGUAAUUCUUUGUUGUGGGGGGGCUGUCCUAUGCACUGUAAGAUGUUUAGCAGCAUUCCUGGCUUCCCAGGAUGCCAAUAGCUUUGCUCCUCUCAUCCCAGUUGUGACGUUGAAAUAUGUGUGCAGACGUUGCCGGAUGUACCUGGAGGUAGAGAGAGGGGGGAAAAAUCACCACACUAUGGCAAUUACCACAGCUUUUGAAUCAGGGAAUUCUAAAUUAACAUGAGGUAACAUUAUCUUACUUUUAUCCAUUGCAUUUAUAAAUAUUUUGUCUUUUCUCUUGGUCCUCAAAAGCAAAAUUCCAUAUUCUAUAUAAAAGAUAAUUCAUUCUCCUAGUCAUUGAGCCAGUGAACAUUCACUGAGUGCUUACUGCAUGCAGUCAACUUUCCCCAGGCAUUGCAAAGAAUACAGAAAAAAGUAGGUUUUUGUCCUCAAGAAGCUUGAGAUCUCAGAGGAGGUAGAGAAGGGAUUUAGGUCGUGUAUAUACAUGACUAUCAAGCAAGUAGGAAGAACUAAAUUCAAAAAAAGAAAGAGGUAAAAUUUAUUGAGAAGAACUUUUACUUUUCCCUUGCAGACCAGCGGUGAUUUAGAAGUUUAUCCCUGAGCUGGGAUUCUGGAAUCAGAGUUUAAUAGAGCAAGGUUAACCUAAGUUUUGGGGUAUGAGAGUAGAUUUGGAAUUGGAGCUAGACCUCUGGAACAAAACAUCAAAUCAAUGGGGGUAGGCAGAGAGAUAGAAACCCAGUCUGAAGCCAAAGGUUCUCAACCAGUAAUGGCAAGAUGGAGGGUGCAUGUUCAAGAGGACCAAAAAGCGGGGGAGCCUGGAAAAGGUUGCUGAAACACUGACAAACAGCCCCUGGUCCAUUUUGCAGGAAACUGCUAAUGAGCUCAGGUGCAAUCACAGCUGUAAGAGCACUAAACUGAUUUAAUGGGUGGGAGGCCUUCCAGUGGGACCAGAAUUAUUCUUCUCUUACCCAUGGUGCCCAGGAACUCAGCAGUGGUGUAUGGAAAGCAAUUCCAAGCCAUACACAGGCAAUGGAAGAUGAGAUAUCAGAGGGUCCUGCUUCCAAGUACCUCCCACUGGCCAGCCCUGUGCCCAACAUCUCCACCAUUAGGGCUUUGUCAUUUGGGUGAGUCUUCUGAAAAAGCAAACAUUCUCCCCAAAAUGGUGUUAUUAUCCACGAACUCGUGGUGUUAUAAUUUUCAAAGUAUAUUCCAAAGACUCUUAAUAGGUAUUACCUUGAAGAGUUUAAUCAACCAAUUAGUUUCUGAAGUGCCUGGUAAAAGAAAUUAAACACAUUUUUUUACUGCAGAAUUUAUAAGAACCUUUAAGAUACAUCAUCAAUCUCAAAUGGAGGGUUAUACUGUGAAACACUUCCAAAAUUUAUUUGAAUACAAAGCCAUUUUAUCGUGUAACAUCUCAUGAGAACAUGGUGUAUGCUACAUGCUUUGUGUAACCCUGCGUGGUUGUGAAAUGAGUGGCUGUUGCCAACUGUCUGGACUUUAAGUGAAUGGGGUAUAGCAGGAAAAAUAUAUCAACAUGUGCAUAUUCACAGACCUCUCCCUCCACACCUGCUAAAGGAAAACUUGACUUUGCCAGUUUGGUUCCACCGCAUUUCUUGCCCCACCAAAUAGAGUUCUGUCUUGAUCACCAGCUUCAUGGUCUUUAUUAUACAUCACUGUAAAUGGUGAAGUCUGGAGAUGCUGGCUAAUUACUCUAAAGAGCAGAUGAUAGGAGAAAAAUAACGGAAAUAUUAAGGGGGGAAUGAAAAGUAGGGCAGGUUUGGAGAGCAGUCGUUGGUGGAGUAGGGCAGGUAACUGACUCUGAGAGCUGCCUUUGUGCAUCUUGGAGUCUGAGAAAGAGCGAAUGCCUGGUAAGAGAAUAUUUUUCUGGACGUGAGAAGAGUAAUUCUUAAGUUGACGUUUUUCCUUAUAAAACUGUAGUAAACAUUUAAAUUGCUUUUUAUUUACUUUUGGUUCGCUAGGAUGAAUUUAUUUAAAUAUGAAAAUGAGCUGAAAUGGGGUGUUAAGGUGGGAUCCAAAAGGUCUGUCUUUAUAAAGGCAGUUACAGGGAAUAUUUAACGAGAAGCAGAGAUCCUGGGUUAAGGUGAAAGAGAGUCGGAGUAUGUGAGUAUCCUGGAAAUAAAGGCUUACUGGGAUGAUCUAGUGAAUGUUAUUUUUGCCUUCCCAUUCGCCUUCUCAGAACAACAAUCUCCUUCUUGUAGGAAUUGCUCCUCUCCUGCUCCAUGUGGUUCUGAGGAGCUGCCAAUCACAGGACAUAGCCCUGUGGCCACAGGAAUGGGCACACAUUCCAGUAGGCCUGGCCAAUCAUAGUUGCCCAUUUCCAUGGCUUCAAAGAUGGGCACAUGACCCAGUUCAGGCCAGUCAGACUCCUUCCCUGAAAUUUUAUAUAACAAAAUGAUGGAAUAGAGAGGCUCUGGUGUGACUAAGCAGGGAUGAUGCUAGCCUGUCAUCUGGAUUCACGCUUCUUUUAUCAUUCCAUCCCUCAACCUGGCCACUAGGAAGAAGCCAAUCUGUAGAAAAGAAGGUGGACAUCAGUAGAAUCUGAGAUGGGAGAUGGAGGGAGAUGGUAAAACGUAGUCACACUGUCUAAGUUACUGGGCUCCCCAAGGCCAGCUUACCUCUGUACUUCUCCACUAUUUGAGCCAGACAUUCCAGUUUAGCUUAACUAAUUUUAGUUUCUGUCAUUUGUAACCAAAGGAGUCCCAAUGAUUUAUCCAGCAAUGUGCUGAGUGCCUUGAGGAGAGGAAGUGUAGAUGGCUGUCAUGAGGGAGAAAGGCCGUGAAGGUGGAGAGAGAAGGUGUUACUGUAAACUUUCUCUUGAGCUCUAUUUGCUUGGAGCAAAACCUGAUGGGGACCUGAUGGUGUGAGGAGGGAGUGGGAGUCGUAAAGUGAGUGAGAAUUGAGAAAUUAAUUUCCUCUCUUUGCCUUGAAUCGGCUGCCCUUCUGAGGUGAUAAGGCAAGAUGAGCUGGGUUCCUUGGAUGAUUCUUGGGAGGAUCCAGUAAAAUGGCAUAUGUGGAAAAGCCACAAAUCAUUCUAUACACAUUAACUGUCAUGUCCAGUCAUCAAGGAAACGUGUUUCAUUCUGAGAUGAAGAUGGAUGCUCACUGUACAAAUAAAGCAUGUGAGAGGUAAACGGGCACUGUUGGAUACAUGCAUCGUUGGAAGAAAAUAAGACGGUGGCCAUGUCAUUCUGACCCGACUUUCCCUUCUUUGACUUGAUACUCCACCUUCAGAAACAGGGACCUUUGUUCUUAAAUACAGGAAGUUGUAAAAUCUCCAAAAGCAAAUUUCCUUAGUUCUUAGGCAAUACUAUAAGUGAUGGUAUUCUACUGAGUCAACGCCUUGAACAUGAAUCAGGAGAUUAACUUUUGUAGCAAACUGUCAAUCUUUACCCCGAAAUUAUGGGAAAGUCUCCAUGGCUCAGCUCUUCCAGCAAAGCUGCUCAGUGUGGUGAUAUCUAUGAGUUAACUUCACCAUCCUUGCAGCUGCCAUGUUGUGAGGACCUUCAAGCAACUCUGUGAAGAAUUGACAUGGUGAGGCUUCCUGCCAGCAGCUGGCACCAACUUGCCAGUCAUCUGAGUGAGCCAUCUUGGAAGUGGAUCCUCCAGCCUCAGUCAUGCCUUCAACUGACUCCAACCUCAUGAGUGAUUCUUGACCAUGAUUAAGAGUGGGACUGCUGAACUGAUGAGAUGACCUGUGUAUGUGGCCGGGGCUUGUUAACUUUGAGCUCUACUUCAGGGCAUCCAGACUCUGAAACCCAUUAAGGAAGAAACUGCAUCUGUCUUGCUCACCAUUGUUCACCUAGCAUAGCACCUGUCACAAGAGUCUGGCACAUAAUAAGCAUGCAGUAAGUGCUCGAUGAACAAGUGAAUGUGAAUCAUUCUCAGUUUGCUGGGAUUUCCCAUCAUUAACAAGAUGGCAUUCUUCACACCUGACUGGAAUACAAAAUAUCUGCUACCAUCCCUCAGCUGUAAUGUGGGCUUCAGCUGUAUUACAGAUAACUGGUGACAGUGUUCUGGAGGGAAGACCGCACUGCUCCAUUUGAACACCUCGUCGACUCACUCACUGGUUUGAAAUAUGUCAUCACUCAGAGAAUGAAAACAAGACAUGAAAAUAAGUAACCACUCCUGGAGGGAUGUUCCCAACUCCUGCACCAGAAUCCAUCGAAGAAGCGUUUGUCUCCAGCAAUAUUAAUAAGCCCCAUUUCCCGACUCUCUCACAUUUGAUUCAGUUCACCAAAUGUGUGAUGAAGACAGACAUGUGAAGAAUAGCUAUGGGACUGCUAAAAGGAGUAAAAAGUAUGACAAUCCAAGAGACAAACCCAAGUAGAAAGAAAUAAAUUACAACUAAAGGUGCAAACAAUAGACUGAAAUGGAACAGAACAAGGACUUCUAAUUGGGGGAGUUAAACAAGACUUCAUAUGGUGUGGACAUUUGUACCUCCAGGCUUUAAUUAGCACCCAUGUAGGCAAAAACGAACAAACAUGCAGAAAUUCAGAACUAAUGGACUGCAUCCACACUGAGUUAAAUCAGGCUAAAGAUUAAUGAAAAAUUCAGUCAUCCUGAGUCCUUUACUUGCUUACCAUCAACCAUCCAGAUGUUUGAUAUUUAAUCAAAGCAAUUGGAUAGUGGACGGAAUUUUACUUUUCAUUCAGUUAUUUGGAAUAGUCAAUAAUAUGCAGUUUGCCAAAUCUUGGGAGAAAAUUCUUUUGCCCUCCUAAUUUAUUUCCAAGUGGCGGGAGAGAAUUUGGAAGUAAUCAAGAGGUUGUUUGGGGAAAGUAAAGUAUAAGAUGGCCAAAUCUUCUUCGUUUCACAGAGAGUUACCUUGGGUAAAUUCGUUUAUGACAAGAUACUUUCACUACUUGAUAAGAUUCUUAUUUUUUCUUACUUUGCCGGAGGACCUCAUUGUUCUUGAACUUUUGAGAAAAGACAGUGUGUUAGCUUAAGAAGCAGAUUCUAAGAUGGGAUCAAAUGAACAAGG
rnacentral:lncRNA from 1 species